rnacentral:rRNA from 1 species
UGGGGAAUUUUGGACAAUGGGGGAAACCCUGAUCCAGCCAUCCCGCGUGUGCGAUGAAGGCCUUCGGGUUGUAAAGCACUUUUGGCAGGAAAGAAACGUCAUGGGUUAAUACCCCGUGAAACUGACGGUACCUGCAGAAUAAGCACCGGCUAACUACGUGCCAGCAGCCGCGGUAAUACGUAGGGUGCAAGCGUUAAUCGGAAUUACUGGGCGUAAAGCGUGCGCAGGCGGUUCGGAAAGAAAGAUGUGAAAUCCCAGAGCUCAACUUUGGAACUGCAUUUUUAACUACCGGGCUAGAGUGUGUCAGAGGGAGGUGGAAUUCCGCGUGUAGCAGUGAAAUGCGUAGAUAUGCGGAAGAACACCGAUGGCGAAGGCAGCCUCCUGGGAUAACACUGACGCUCAUGCACGAAAGCGUGGGGAGCAAACAGG